AUUUUUUCUGGUAGAAAAUGCGCGUGUUUUUAUAAAAUAAUGAAAUCGUGAAAUUGUACGUUUUCCUACGUUUUUUCCCACUUAAGUGCAUUUAUUUAAAUAUGACGUCGAAAAUCAAAAAAUGACUUCUUUAAAGUACAAUCCAGACAAUUUGAGCUUUCAGAAAAAUUGCUACACGUAAAAAUCGGAGCAAGUUUACUAGGUAAAAACGUAUCCACAGACAAGAAGAAGAAAGAAAAGAAAUAAACAUCUUAGUAAAACCAAUAGGUCCCUCGCAACGCUCGGAAUUUAAACUUACAUUGUUCAAUAUCG